AUGUAAUGAGCCCAGAGCAAAGGCCUUCUGCAGUUCCUGGGCUGUUCUCCCAGCUUGGAGCUCUGCUCAGUGCAGCUUCCAUUUACUGCUGUCCGUGGCUGUGGGGUGGGAAUGUUGUCCUCCUCCACAGUGACAGCUUUUUCUCUUCACAGUGGAGCACAUGUACACACAGGUAAACAGAUUCCUUCUGUCACACCAGUUUUUGGACCUGAGGAAAAUACCAGACUUUUUCCAGUUUUUCUACAGUUUUGAUUUUGAGUGUCGUAUCUUGGCGAUAUUACAAAGUGCUGCCCGUGUCACCAGAGCUGCUGCCCAUGAGCUGAUCCAGGAUCACAGCCUCCUCACGUGGCUCCUGCACAGCUUAGAGAAAAGGACUAAUGUAGAUGUGGCCAGACUGAUGGAGUUCUUGAGCACCCUCCGCUCUGUGCUGGAAUCCCGUGCCGUUGUUGGGGAGGCUUUUAGGGAGAUGAGGCGUUUCAUGGCCAAUGACAGCAUCCUGUCCAGCAGGGAGCUGCUGCUGCUGCUGCUGCACGAGUGGAGCCUUGUGAGCAAAGACCUGCAGCUGCAGGAGGAGCUGCAGGCACUGGCCCAGAGGUGCCAAAACACAGAAUUGCUCACUGUUCUUGUAUUCCUGACUUCCAUUUAUGAGGGGAACACAUGGCUCGGAGCUCAGGAGCUGGAUCUGUUACUGUCCCACUGGUCUGCACUAGUGCAGGUGAUGAAUUACGGGAUAGCUUGGGAACUUGGAAACAAGGAGAAGAAAUGAUUACAUCUCUUUGCAAAAAGAUUUGGCUACAUCAGGGCAUUAAUUCAGGGAACUAACACUUCAUCUUCAACAUUCUGUGCUCUGCCAUCAUCACUGUGAGCCCUGGAAGCCUCCUGAGCUGUUCUCAUACAGACCUAACUUGUUUGGUCAAAAAAUUUUGAUCACUGUGUGGGAACUCAGGGGGAUGAUCUUAUUCAACCUCCCUCAGUGGGGCAUUAAAGCUCCACUUCCCAUUUUCUUGAACAGUCUGAGACACAAUAUUACUUUGUAUCAUUUUUAUUACAGGCAUUUUUAACUUUUUGAAGAACCAGAAAGACUGUUGGCGCAUAUGUGUGUCAUUAAUAUCCAUCCUCUCUCCAGAGUAGGAUGGGAAAAAAGGCUGCAGAGCUUCCUACAAGGGGCUGCAAGUGCAAAUAACGAGGAGCCAGAGGUUUAGUCAUGAUGAUUUACUAUUUCUUAAAAGAACCUGGUAGAUUUCAUGAUAGCAAAACCAGUGUGAAUAGAAGACUGAACUUGGGAAUCGUGAUGGUCUCCUUGGGUUUAAAAAGCUGUAGUAGUUUUUAAAGACAUUUAUAUCAGAUCUGCUUUAUUUCCAUUUUAAAAAUAGCCUGUGAUUUUAAAUCACUGCUGCUGUGAUGUGUGACAAAAGGCCAUCUUCCCUCCGCUUGGAACAGGAGCCCUGCCCAGUCUGAGUGCUGCCCAGAGCUCCUCCCUGAGCGCAGCCCUCUCUGGGUGAGCCUCUGUCCUGCUGGCCGUGCCUCUGUGUCUGCAUCCCUGUGCCACUCCUCGCCCGGCUGGGAGUCCUUGGUGCCUUCUUUGGGGCCUAUGAGGAGAUUCAGAUCUGGAAGAAAACUGAGAAUAGCAAAACUGUCACAGUGUCAUGAAGUAUCUUCUUCAUCUCUAAAAGGAUGAAACAUCUCAGAGUGAUACAAUGCAAAAAGAGUUGGUAGAUGUACUGGCUUUGCAUGCCAGCUGUAUGGACAAUGUCAAUGUAUGUCAAUGUUCACAUGGUACCUAUGUGGGUUUUUCCUGUAGCAGGAUGCGCGUAGGUCACACACUCCAGAGUGCCAGUGUGACCCCCUGCUGCUCCAGGUCACCUCUUUGGCUGUAGUUCAAUAGCUGAGAGUGGGUCUAGUGAGGGGUCUAGAAUAGUGACGGGACUGCAACAGCAUCCUGUACCCUGAGGAAGAACACGCUCACUGAUGGAAACCUGCACUGCCACGCUGUGUUCCUUCUCUCGUACGGCAGGAUAGGCUUCACAUGGCGAUUUCAGUGCAACAAUUAUGUGUAAAACCCAUUCACCAGCCUUCAGCAAUAAAUAUGAAUUUGAAAUGGA